rnacentral:rRNA from 1 species
GGGGAAUUUUCCGCAAUGGGCGAAAGCCUGACGGAGCAAUACCGCGUGAGGGAGGAAGGCUCUUGGGUUGUAAACCUCUUUUCUCAGGGAAGAACACAAUGACGGUACCUGAGGAAUCAGCAUCGGCUAACUCCGUGCCAGCAGCCGCGGUAAUACGGAGGAUGCAAGCGUUAUCCGGAAUGAUUGGGCGUAAAGCGUCUGUAGGUGGUUUAUUAAGUCUGCUGUUAAAGCACAGGGCUCAACCCUGUAUAGGCGGUAGAAACUGGUAGGCUUGAGUAUGGUAGGGGUAGAGGGAAUUCCCGAUGUAGUGGUGAAAUGCGUUGAUAUCGGGAAGAACACCAAAGGCGAAAGCACUCUGCUGGGCCAAUACUGACACUAAGAGACGAAAGCUAGGGGAGCAAAUGGGAUUAGAUACCCCAGUAGUC